rnacentral:rRNA from 1 species
AUCUUAAGAACUGCAAAGCCUGAACGUGCCCAAUCUCGUCUGAUCUCAGAAGCUAAGCAGGGUCGGGCCUGGUUAGUACUUGGAUGGGAGACCACCUAGGAAUACCAGGUGCUGUAGGCG